ensembl:lncRNA
UGUGAGAAGAGGAGGAUGGGAAACGUAUUUUGUAAAUGCAUCAAGCAUGGCACCAACACUGACUGAAGGGAAGGAAGCCAGCUAGACAGAAAGGGCGCUGGUUGUUAAGGCCUCUUUUCAUCCUAAGACUGUGGGAUUCAAUGGCCAGAUUGUAUUCAUGUGUUUUCAUUAAGGUGUCAAUGACUGAUACCUCAUGCAACUAUCUUUAAUCUUAAACAAGAACUCUGCACAAGGCUUCUCUCAGCCAGGCCAUCCAGACAGCAGUUCCAGGAGCAGACACAAGGAGCUGAAACUCCUGCUGUGGGAAAUGCCUUCUCCAGCUCCCAGCUGUACACUCAAAUCACCGCAGCCAACCCUUCCAGGAGGAGGGGGCUCUAAGGGGUCAGACAGGCCAGGGGUGGACCUGGAACCAUGGCUCACCAACCCUUCCAGGAGGAGGGGGCUCUAAGGGGUCAGACAGGCCAGGGGUGGACCUGGAACCAUGGCUCAGUGACACUUCCCUGGGUUGGCUGCUCCCCCUUGGGCCUGAUGGGCACCUCAGGCCAACUCAUCCUGCAAUAAUAAAAUCAACUCCUCUCCUUGCCUCCUGGGUGCCCUGGGGAGGGAGUGGGGCCAGGAGGAAAACUCUUCUCCUCUCAGGACAAUCCCAAAGGCAAAUAUUUAGUCCUGUGGUCAGGUCCCAAGUCCCAGUUUCCAAUUCAGCAAGUGUGGUCCCUGACCACAGGGACAGUCACGUCCAGAUGCAAAGAGAUUAGGGAAUCAACCAAAUAUUUGCUAAGUGCUUUCCAGCUGGACUCUACGCAGGAAGAUGAACCAGUGGUCUAGUGACUGUUCAGUGAUGUUGCCAUCGGAGGAAUGCACGGGUGGGUGGUGCGGUGGAGCUCAGAGCAGGGGCACCCAGCCCUUGUGGGCAGGGGGAGGAAGUGGGAAGAACUGUCUGUAGGAGGGCUGACGCUUAGUGACAAGUCGGAGUCAGGCAAGUGGUGAAGGGGCAGAAGGGGCUUCCAGGCAGAAGAGCAGCUUGUGCAAAAGCCCAGAGGUGGAAGAGAGUGGCGCAUGCGCCGGGCUUGGCAAGCAGCUUUGCCUUGCUGGAGAGGGAGCCCUGUGGAGAGAUGGGGUCAGAGAGGUGAGUGGGCCACUUUAGGAGGGUUCAGAAAAGGAAGGAAUACCCAAGGGUACACUAGAGUCUUAAGUCAACAGCAGAGCAUCUGGUCUUGUCCCUGUGACAGCUGGGAGCAGGCAGGCCAGAGGGCACAGAGCAGGGCUGGGCUGCCUGCAGCAGUGGGGGCGGAGGUCCUUUCACACUGGAUUAAACAUGAAUCACCAGAGGGUCCUGGCCAGGCACCUUCUAAAGGUCACUGAUCCAGAGUGUCUGGCGUUAUGAUUUGUAGCUGCUGCCAAGUGGGAAGUCUCUGGUCAGGGGUCCUCUCAGUGUGAUGUUUACAGAGUCAGUCCCUGUCUAAGGGGGUUGCAGCCCAAGACAGCCUUAACAGGGGGAGAAAUAAAUGCAGGGUUGUCAGGAGAUUCCAGAAGCCAGAGGGUGGCCAGGAAGCUCCUCGCUCUACGAACCCCCGGGAGCCCUGGCUGGGGUGUGGGAACCAAGGAGCUUCCCCUCAGCCUCACAGCAGGUAUGACAUCCCUGAAUCCAGGACAGCUCCCAGCCUGAGGCCAUAGGGAUGCGAAGACCCCAGCCUGGCCCUGUGGGGCUCCUUGCUGGUCUGGUCCUGUUUGGGUAACGGAGCUCCAGUUAUUCCAUCUUCCCUGAGGUGGGAAUGCCGGUAUUGGUGGCCACAGCACGCAGGGUCGUGGAAGGGGCGUUGGGAUCAGAUGCCAGUACUGAAUAAACCAGUUGCAUCCAUUGGGCAAAUCGCUCAACUUCUUGGGACCUGUGAUUUCUCAUCUGUAAAAAGGGUCAGCAUCUCCAGCUUGCAAGGUUGAAGAUUGAAUGAGACAAUGCAGGUAACAUUGAGGCCCAGGCCCAGCUCGAUCCUUCCAGCCGUGGCCUGACACAUUGCAGAGGCCCAUACUUCUGCCACCCUGGGCCAGAUGGACAGGAAGCCUCCAUCAGCUGACAGAGGCCUGGCUCAGUCCACAGACCCCAGCCUUGGGCGGCUUUCCGGGUGCUCUUUGGCUCAGAGCCUGCAGGGGGCAGCAACAGGACGCGCAGCCACGGCCAGGCCUGUCUGGUUUUCUCUGCAGUCUGGGAUAGAAAGUUCUCCUCUGCAUCAGUGAAUGCAGCUUGGGUCGAUUUGUUUUUAAAUGGGUGAUGUUUGAGAUUCCUUUAUGAAAGCCCUUCACAUCUGGAAUUCAAAGAAAAUCAUCAGUCUAGACUCUCAGGCCCGAUAGCAGCUUGUGUGAAAUUUGGGCUUGUCUUUCCAGUAAAACUGCCUCCCUGUUCCAAGCCAGCGCUCCCACCCUCUCUGCCUCCUUCUCUUCUUGUGACCUUUUAUCUCAGCGGGAGCCCUGACUAGAAAGAGGGUUCUGGAAAUGUGGUGUGUUUCUCAUUAAGUUUCUGCAGCAUGAAAGUCACGUG